rnacentral:rRNA from 1 species
GAGAGUUAAACAGUACGUGAAAUUGUUGAAAGGGAAACGAUUGAAGCCAGUCGUACCUUCGGGUAAUCAGCCUUUCGGGUGCGAUUCUGUGGAGUUUGAGGAGCUUAACACCUUCAUGCUUUUGCAUAUUCGUGCUCUUGGGUGUACUUGCCCGUGUGGUUGGUUAACAUCAAUUUCGGGCACCAUAAAAUGGCUGGAGGAAUGUAGCUUCGAUCUUGUAUUGAAGUGUUAUAGCCUUCGGUAGAUGUGGUGAUCGAGAUUGAGGAUUGCAACGGAUACCUUUCGGGGCUACCUGUCUGAUCUCUGAUCGUUGCUUUGGUGCUGAAAGCGUGCUUAUAGUUAUCAAAGUCGAUGGUCAAUAGGUUAGAAUGGGUUAAAUUCGUUAAGGAUGUUGACGUAAUGGCUUUAAACGA